CGACCACUAUGGUCAGAUUAAGUAAGUUUUUGUGCCUCAUUGGAUGUUGAUCGGAAUAAAGGUUCAACUUUUGAAGGAAAUUCCGAUUAAUAGAAUGAGGUUAAACAUGAAAUUUUACUUUAUCCCCUUAUUCAUUUGUUUAAAUGCUAUGGCCGGGCCUCGUGAACAAGCCUUUAAACUACAUAAUCGUUUAACGGGAGUUCCACCCAAACCGGCAGUCUUGCAGCUGAUGGAAGA
rnacentral:misc_RNA from 1 species